rnacentral:lncRNA from 1 species
GCCAGGACCUGUGGGUCAAGUUCCAGAAGGCAGUGAGCUGGCCACUGGAAUAUGUGGACGAAACAAACAUCACAGGAAGCCAGCAGGACAACAUGCCCAUUAUCUGCCUGUCAUCUGCAUGUGAGGUGCCCAUACCAUUGCAGAAAGGAGCAGAGUGUGGUGAGGAUAAUGGCCUGGUGCAGAGGUACAUCCCUAAGGCAGGCUGACCCAACAUCCAAGAACCUUUGUCUGCUUUUCACUGUUACAGUAGCUAUUUUAACUGCUGUACAGUAGGUGGGUAGCUAAACCUGGCUAGUUGGUGCAUAGACUGUGACCCUAAAUCUGGUAACAGCUAUACAGGGUACAAAGAGACCUGUCCCCGCUGAAGGAAAAUGGAGGGUAUGUACCAUCUGUGGAAAAUUCCAAGUGACAAGUGGCCUUGGGGAGUCAGAACGGACUUUAAACCCACCAGUCUUAGCCUGCAUCUUUUCAGAGUGUUACUCCCUGUGAUUGAUUUGUUUCUUUCAAGCUAGCUGCUCUGCUACAGGGUGACGUUGGAUCACUCUUAGAUUCCCCUUACAGUCUGAUAAUCAGAGGCACCUAUGUAUAGCUAAGCUAGUGGUGUCCCAAAGGAAAUAUCAGGGAGUCAUGAGUCCAGCCACCCAGUUGCCCUGGUGCUGAAAUCUCUGAGUGGAACUUGAGGCGAGAGGAAAGGCAGUCUGAGCCAUCCAAAUAAUUUCCACAAGUUCCUUUGCUAGCGGCAGCAGGUGCCAGUCCACCUGAGGAGGCCGUGUGCCAUGAAAGCCUGAAGCUAUGUCUGCUUCUUCUAGUGUCUCCCAAAAGGCAGGGUUAAUAAAUGUUUGCUGACCGUUUUAUAAAUGUUAUAAAACAUUUUAUAAAUUGUUAUAUAUGUUAUAAAACAGACAAGUGGAGCCAGCACUGUCUCCACUCCAAGGAAAUCUCGGAAACUAAGAAUGGAUAUGGAAGCUGCUGGAUCCUCAAGCUCUUUGGAAUCAAAAAUAACAGGAGAAAUCCAGACCCCUUGUAAUGAGCUAUCAUUGAGAAUAGAUAGAGUAAGGUUGGUGACAGAGCUCUGUAAUGCAGCACUACCAUGCCUGAGGCCCUGGGUCCUAUUUCCAGCAGCAGCAGCAGGAGAGCAGAAACAGUGGUCCUAGCACUCAGGAGGCUGAGGCAAGAGGAUGGUGAGUUCGAGGCCAACCUGGGCUACAGCAUGAAACUCUGCCUCAAGUCACAUGCACACCCCAUAGACACUUGAUAUGGCAAAAGCAGCACUCAGGAGAGGUGACACUAAAAAUCUAUUUUAGAACAGUUAGUGGGUGAUAAUCUGUCACCUAGCCUGUCCAUUGAGGGGUGACAGUCGGCAUGCUCUUCACUUACAUCAUCUCAUUGCUGCUCUCCCAGGCUGCCCAGCAGUGUCCCCUGGGCUCAGAGCCAGCCUCUCCUCUUGACCUUUCUCUGGCUUCUCUCCUGAGAGAAUGUAGAUUUAAAAGCCUGCUGAUAAUACUCCCUCCUCAGACUGUAGACACCUAGUAAUCAAUAGCAUCAGCCAUUGGGUGAGUCCCUUGGAGUGGAAAGAUGGACUCUUUCUCAAGGAAAUGCUAGUAGGCUGGAGCUGAGCAAGGAGAGGUGACCUGGAUGACGAGGGUCUCUUUACAUACUUUUUUUUUUUUGUACAAUGUAAACUAAUGUAGACAAAGCAACUGGUUUUGUGCCUGGCCUGGAUGAUUGUAUAAGGUCUGGCUAUCCACUAGGUGGCAUGGGGAAAAACAUUCCAAGGACAGGGUAAGUCAAAAACGUAGGCUUGUCUUUUGUUUUUUGUUUUUCUUAGAAUGGACAUCUUAGACCAGAGUAGAGUUGAUAUGAAGAAAUAGCAGGAAGUUAAGAAUUGACAAAUUGAUUUUUUUUUAAAUUUACUUCCUGGCUUGUUUUAAUUUGAUUUAAUUUUAUGUGUAUGAGUGCUUUGCCUGCCUCUAUGUCUGUGUGCAGCAUGCAUGCCUAGUAUCCACAGAGGUCAGAAAAGGGCAUCGGAUCUCUGGGACUGGAGUUAUAGACAUUUGUGAGUACCAUGUGGGUGCUGGAAACCAAACCUCAGUCCUCUACAGGAGCAAGAAGUGCUCUUAACUGCUGAGUCAACUCUCUAGCCACUACAGAUCAAUUAGAGUUAGCUGAGAAUGUAUGUUCCUACAGGCAGAAGAGAGCCAGUGAACAACUAACAGAUGGAAAACUAAAACUGGAUAAUUUCAUAGUUAUGUCCAUAUCCCUCUUGCCCUCUGCUUCAAAGGAUAGCCUUGGCUUUACAUUCUAAUCUAUUCCCACUUCUUUUUCUCCAACAGACAUUUACACCUUCUCUGCAUAAACCAUGCAGGCGUCAGGGAGACUCCAGAGUGGGUCUGGCUGGUCUGCCCCACCGAGGAUUGCUCCUGGUUGAGCAUGUGACUCAGGCCUGGUCUACUUCUGAGAAAAACGACCUAGUUUCUCAGAGAAGCACCUAAGAAUAGAGGGUCUUUCUUCUUGCGCAGGACACCUUCAUAUCUAGAGGUGACCUGCUUGCCAUGAGUCUGAGAAUGUAGACAAUAACAAAGGCAGCAUGGCAGAGAGGAAAGGGCUGUUUCUUUGAGUUACUCUGAGCCAUGGCAUGGCAUCUGUCUUUUUCCAUAGCAGAACCCACUGUUGUGAUUUUAAGCCAGGGUGAGUCAGGGUUCUCCUUACUUUUGUUCCAAAAUAUCCCCUUGCUUUCUCAACAGCUCCUGAAAUCCCUUUCCCCCAGUAAGCCUGCUCUCUAGAGGACUCACAGAAAACCAGUUCUAUAACCUAAUGAUGCAGAGGAAACCAGGGCCCCAUCUCAGGGUUCUGGAAAGAUGGGCCAGAAGUUAAG